rnacentral:rRNA from 1 species
CCUACGGGAGGCAGCAGUAGGGAAUAUUGCUCAAUGGGGGAAACCCUGAAGCAGCAACGCCGCGUGGAGGAUGAAGGUUUUCGGAUUGUAAACUCCUUUUGUUAGAGAAGAUAAUGACGGUAUCUAACGAAUAAGCACCGGCUAACUCCGUGCCAGCAGCCGCGGUAAUACGGCGGGUGCAAGCGUUAUUCGGAAUCACUGGGCGUAAAGAGCGCGUAGGCGGGAUAGCAAGUCAGAUGUGAAAUCCUAUGGCUUAACAAUAGAACUGCAUUUGAAACUGUUAUUCUAGAGUAUGGGAGAGGUAGGUGGAAUUCUUGGUGUAGCGGUAAAAUGCGUAGAGAUCAAGAGGAAUACUCAUUGCGAAGGCGACCUGCUAGAACAUAACUGACGCUGAUGCGCGAAAGCGUGGGGAGCAAACAGGAUUAGAUACCCCGGUAGUC